GAGCUCAGGACGAACGCUGGCGGCGUGCUUAACACAUGCAAGUCGAGCGGUAAGGCCUUUCGGGGUACACGAGCGGCGAACGGGUGAGUAACACGUGGGUGAUCUGCCCUGCACUCUGGGAUAAGCUUGGGAAACUGGGUCUAAUACCGGAUAUGACUGCAGCNNGCAUGNNGUGUGGUGGAAAGAUUUAUCGGUGCAGGAUGGGCCCGCGGCCUAUCAGCUUGUUGGUGGGGUAAUGGCCUACCAAGGCGACGACGGGUAGCCGACCUGAGAGGGUGACCGGCCACACUGGGACUGAGACACGGCCCAGACUCCUACGGGAGGCAGCAGUGGGGAAUAUUGCACAAUGGGCGGAAGCCUGAUGCAGCGACGCCGCGUGAGGSAUGAAGGCCUUCGGGUUGUAAACCUCUUUCAGCAGGGACGAAGCGUGAGUGACGGUACCUGCAGAAGAAGCACCG
rnacentral:rRNA from 1 species